UCUAUUUCCCAUCCUGCGUGCGAAUCCUUCACAAAUACAAUUCGCUGGAGAGGUCUGAAAAUAUAGCAGCUAAAUUGACAACACUGGAACUGACUUAAUCGAAUCCACUCGACUAUUGCUGCGCGAGAUACGUAAUCAAUGUAUUUGGGAACCAGGCGUGGCAUUGCCAUUAAAGUGUUGUUCAAAAUGUUCCAUGAGGAGCGUUUGAAAAAUAAACACUUUAAUUGAACAGUUGUUAAUUCUACAGGAUUAGCAUUGAACGCGUGACUAGCGGUGGGGAAAUCAGAGGGAAGUCAGAGGACACUGAUGCCCCCGUCCCAUUUCACAGCAAGCAUCCAGUCUGCCUCAAUCACAGUACCAGGGACUGCAAAGGGUGAGGGACCACACCAAUAACAUGGGUCACCCCUGCCACAACAACACCAUCAGACUCUGCCAACCCAUGGCCCACCAACACUCAGACCAAACAGGAAAUUCUGGAACUGCGCAGAUAAAACCAGAGGAUUCUGAUCUGGAGAGAGAGGCAGAGUCAUUAAAUGAAGGUGAUGUGGGAGGAGUUAUGUAUGACUGAGCUCAGCCAAGUCACUGGGGAGCUGGUUCAAAAGAGAGAGGAAAAAGAGCCUCAGCACCCAGCUGGAGAGGGAGUCUGGGGAGGUGGAGAGGCUGAGGAGUGAAGUGUAGACAGGAGGCCCAGAGGCUGCCCAGGGAAGCUGAGACAGCUAGGCUGCAGGCUUGGGAGGAAGUCGAGCAGGAAAUGCAGAAACUAAAGAAGCAACUGGAUGAAUCCAACAGGAAACAUGAAACGCAGAAGCUGAAUAAGGAGAAGGAGGCUCUGCAGGUGACAACAGAGUUUAUGACGGUCAGACUCAACUCUGUGAAUGACAUAUUGGCCCUACAAGAGGAGAAGAGGGCUGAGAAGGUACGUGAUCAAUUGUUAACGGUGCCAUAGCUGAUGUAAAAUCCCCUUAUUUUUGUCAGAUAUUUUAUUAAUAUCCAUUCCCACAUGUGUAUGACUAUCUAAGAGCUCUGAGGGUUACGCAAAGGCUUAGUCAUGUCCACAGACUAGGUCAGACCCUCUCUUGAAGGCUGGGCCUAAAGGCACUCGGGUUCUGCGUCGCUGGAGAGAGAAGGUCUUCAUGUUGUUGGUCGAACUUCGCUCAAAGGACAUUGAACUGAGGGGAGAAAAGGACAAUUGUACAAUCUCGUCUCUGGAGCAGGACGUGAAGGAGAAGUACCAGUCUAGUGUGUUCCAGCACAGCCUGCAGGACAGAACAGCUGCGCUGGACCUGGAGAGGGUGGCUUGGGAGGCGUGAGAGGGGUCUGGUGAGUGAGUAUAAGGGCGUUCGGACCACAGCCCUGCAGACUUCUGUGGCCUUGGAGGAGCAGCAGCAGCAGAGACCCUCAGGGAAGAACAACACUCUGAAAGACAAAGACAAGCUACAGACCGGAGACUCAGUGGUCCUCAGCUCAGAGGACGAUGUAGAGGAGGACGGGGUGAGGCAGUCCAGAGCCAAAAGAGAACUCCCAAAAGUGACCUUCUGCAAAAAGGCCUCACAGCAAGGAGGAGCAUGACAGGAAAAUCAAAUGAAUGGAUAGCCUCGAUCAAAACCGCGUGCUGCCUUCCACUGAAGAAGACUAAAUAACAGGCUGAGUUAUGACCCUAAGUGCUCUGAACUGUAGUACUGGAGAAAGGAGAUUGACCUCUGCUGAUGGUUUUGUAGUCUUGCUAUUGGUUGUGUUUAUAAAGACAUGAAUCAGCAUCUUCUUGGACAA